AGAGUUUGAUCCUGGCUCAGAAUGAACGCUGGCGGCGUGCCUAACACAUGCAAGUCGAAUGUGCCGCAAGGUGCAUGGCAGACGGGUGAGUAACGCGUAGGGAAUCUACCUUUUAGUGGGGAAUAACGCUCCGAAAGGAGUGGUAAUACCGCAUGAGACCGUAGUCUGGGAUGACAACGGUGAAACCUGGGGACCGCAAGGCCUGGGGCUAAAAGAGGAUCCUGCGUCUGAUUAGCUAGUUGGCGGGGUAAUGGCCCACCAAGGCGACGAUCAGUAGCCGGCCUGAGAGGGUGAUCGGCCACACUGGAACUGAGACACGGUCCAGACUCCUACGGGAGGCAGCAGUGGGGAAUUUUGCGCAAUGGACGAAAGUCUGACGCAGCAACGCCGCGUGGGUGAUGAAGGUCUUCGGACUGUAAAACCCUGUCGUCAGGGACGAAGGUUGGGGGGUUAAUAGCCCUUUAGCUUGACGGUACCUGGAGAGGAAGCCCCGGCUAACUCCGUGCCAGCAGCCGCGGUAAUACGGAGGGUGCAAGCGUUGUUCGGAAUCACUGGGCGUAAAGGGCGCGUAGGCGGCCGAUCAAGUCUGAUGUGAAAGCCCGGGGCUCAACCCCGGAAGUGCAUUGGAAACUGGUCGGCUUGAGUUCAGGAGAGGAGGGCAGAAUUCCCGGUGUAGGGGUGAAAUCCGUAGAGAUCGGGAGGAAAACCAGUGGCGAAGGCGGCCCUCUGGAACGAAACUGACGUUGAGGCGCGAAAGCGUGGGGAGCAAACAGGAUUAGAUACCCUGGUAGUCC
rnacentral:rRNA from 1 species